CGUUCAGAGAUGACUAGAAUGAGGGAGAACUGUAAAAUGAGACUUGAUGACUUGAAAAUGAGAAGCUAAAAACUUAAUUUCUAUCAUUUUCAGUAUUUUCUAUUUAACAAAUUUCUAUUAUGGAUUUGGACUGGAUUGAAAAGAAAUAAAUUGACUACUAUUUUGAACCCAGAGAAGACAACUGGAACAUACAACCUAUGGAUUUUGGAGGGUCAAACUUGCUGCAAAUUUGCUCAAGAACACCCUGUGGAGGAACACACUCUCUUGACGCAAGAGGCUGUGGCUGAUAAGCUGUCAUCUAGUCAAGCUCAGAUUUCCGUCCAAUGUAAGGAAAACUCUGAGGGUCAAGACGGAACAGUGCUGUUUGACACGGAAGCCUUUCCCAUGGCCAACAUCCACUGUCCUAGCAGUGUAGAAGAUCUUCCUGAAGGUCAAUGUAAACAGCAGUAGAUCUCUGCAGAUCUCCUCAUCAGUUAUUCGGGGAUAUUUCGAACAUAAAAUCAUCUUAACAAGAUUCUUUCUUUGUUUUCUGAA